GACGAACGCUGGCGGCGUGCUUAACACAUGCAAGUCGAACGAGCGGCGGACGGGUGAGUAAUGUAUGGGGACUGCCCGAUAGAGGGGGAUAACUACUGGAAACGGUGGCUAAUACCGCAUACUGUCGGAUAACCCAUAUGGGAGUAGCUAGUAGGUAAGGUAAUGGCUUACCUAGGCGACGAUCCCUAGCUGGUCUGAGAGGAUGAUCAGCCACACUGGGACUGAGACACGGCCCAGACUCCUACGGAGGCAGCAGUGGGGAAUAUUGCACAAUGGGCGCAAGCCUGAUGGAGCAACGCCGCGUGAGUGAUGACGGCCUUCGGGUUGUAAAGCUCUGUUAAUCGGGAGACGGUACCGGAAUAGAAAGCCACGGCUAACUACGUGCCAGCAGCCGCGGUAAUUC
rnacentral:rRNA from 1 species